UGGGGAAUAUUGCACAAUGGGCGAAAGCCUGAUGCAGCGACGCCGCGUGAGGGAUGACGGCCUUCGGGUUGUAAACCUCUUUCAGCAGGGAAGAAUCGCAAGUGACGGUACCUGCAGAAGAAGCACCGGCUAACUACGUGCCAGCAGCCGCGGUAAUACGUAGGGUGCGAGCGUUGUCCGGAAUUAUUGGGCGUAAAGAGCUCGUAGGCGGUUUGUCGCGUCGGAUGUGAAAGCCCGGGGCUUAACUCCGGGUCUGCAUUCGAUACGGGCAGACUAGAGUGUGGUAGGGGAGAUCGGAAUUCCUGGUGUAGCGGUGAAAUGCGCAGAUAUCAGGAGGAACACCGGUGGCGAAGGCGGAUCUCUGGGCCAUUACUGACGCUGAGGAGCGAAAGCGUGGGGAGCGAACAG
rnacentral:rRNA from 1 species